UACGGGGGGAGCAAGCGUUGUUCGGAUUUACUGGGCGUAAAGGGCGCGUAGGCGGCCACCGCAAGUCGACUGUGAAAUCUCCGGGCUUAACCCGGAAAGGUCAGCCGAUACUGCGGGGCUAGGGUGCAGAAGGGGCAACUGGAAUUCUCGGUGUAGCGGUGAAAUGCGUAGAUAUCGAGAGGAACACCUGCGGCGAAGGCGGGUUGCUGGGCUGACACUGACGCUGAGACGCGAAAGCGUGGGGAGCGAACAGG
rnacentral:rRNA from 1 species